UGAUUGAUUACUUUCUAACAAGUGGGGCCGGAUUGUAAGGAGAUGAUUUGGUAAAAACUUGACAUACAACUCCCUGGAUUUCACAAAAAUACCCUUAUUCAAAAAAUGAAAAAGCAAUCGGCCCCCCCUCCCGCGGCCUCCCGCGGCGGCGAGUCCGGCGGCUCCACUACCAGGAGCUCCGAGGACGAACGCGAGCUCGACGCCCGCACAGGGGGUGUGCUUCACGGACGCGCCUUCCUCCCCCUCGAUUCCCCCGCCGCCAAAUCCGAGGGUUUUUUUCCCGCCCCAAAUGGAGGAGGUCGAAGCUCGAGCUCCAUUCCUGCAUCACACGGUCGGAUGCAGAGGCAUCGUGCCCCAGGAUGCCGCCGCCGCUCGCCGAGACGCCGCCACCGGCCCGAUCUACAGAAGCCCAGCCACGCGAACACGAAGGCAUCGUGCGCUAGGACGCCGCCGCCCGCGGCUGCUGCUGCUCGUCGUCGCUCCAGCAUCCCCGGCCCAGCGCGAGCACGCCUCCUCCUGUGGCCCAGCGCACCUCCGCCCACCGUCAGCCCAGCGCAUCGCUCCGGCGUCCCAGGCAAAGCAGCGCGGUGGAGGCCAGGAACCCGACGCCCAGCGCGCCUCUGCGCAGGGGUGAGGGGUGAGGGGCUGAUUGCUUUUCUGUUUUAGAUCAAGGGGUGUGUGUGUAAAGUUUUUGCUCCUACAAUCUGGCCCCACUUGUCAGAAUGUUGUUAAAUGGGACAAAUCACCGUAUCAGUGGAAUUUGCAAAAAAGUUUACUAGAAACACGGUGAUUUUUGGACAAAAUUAAAGACUAGAUAGUUUUCUGC